rnacentral:rRNA from 1 species
ACGCUGGCGGCACGCCUAACACAUGCAAGUCGAACGAAGUAGCAAUACUUAGUGGCAGACGGGUGAGUAACAUGUGGGUAUCUGCCCUAUGGCCUGGAAUAACACGAGGAAACUUGUGCUAAUACCGGAUAAGUCUUUACAGAGAAAGCUUUAUGCACCAUUGGAUGAGCCCGCACUUGAUUAGUUUGUUGGUGGGGUAAUGGCCUACCAAGACUGUGAUCAAUAGCUGAUUUGAGAGGAUGAUCAGCCACAUUGGGACUGAGACACGGCCCAAACUCCUACGGGAGGCAGCAGUGGGGAAUCUUGCACAAUGGAGGAAACUCUGAUGCAGCGAUGCCGCGUGAGUGAAGAAGGCCCUUGGGUUGUAAAGCUCUUUCGUCGGGGAAGAAAAUGACUGUACCCGAAUAAGAAGGUCCGGCUAACUUCGUGCCAGCAGCCGCGGUAAUACGAAGGGACCUAGCGUAGUUCGGAAUUACUGGGCUUAAAGAGUUCGUAGGUGGUUGAAAAAGUUGGUGGUGAAAUCCCAGAGCUUAACUCUGGAACUGCCAUCAAAACUUUUCAGCUAGAGUAUGAUAGAGGAAAGCAGAAUUUCUAGUGUAGAGGUGAAAUUCGUAGAUAUUAGAAAGAAUACCAAUUGCGAAGGCAGCUUUCUGGAUCAUUACUGACACUGAGGAACGAAAGCAUGGGUAGCGAAGAGGAUUAGAUACCCUCGUAGUCCAUGCCGUAAACGAUGUGUGUUAGACGUUGGAAAUUUAUUUUCAGUGUCGCAGCGAAAGCGAUAAACACACCGCCUGGGGAGUACGACCGCAAGGUUAAAACUCAAAUGAAUUGACGGGGACCCGCACAAGUAGUGGAGCAUGUGGUUUAAUUCGAAGAUACGCGCAGAACCUUACCAACACUUGACAUGUUCGUCGCGACUCUAAGAGAUUAGAGUUUUCGGUUCGGCCGGACGAAACACAGGUGCUGCAUGGCUGUCGUCAGCUCGUGUCGUGAGAUGUUGGGUUAAGUCCCGCAACGAGCGCAACCCUCACUUUUAGUUGCCAUCAUUAAGUUGGGCACUCUGAAAGAACUGCCAGUGAUAAGCUGGAGGAAGGUGGGGAUGACGUCAAGUCCUCAUGGCCCUUACGUGUUGGGCUACACACGUGCUACAAUGGUAUCUACAACAGGAAGCAAGACGGCGACGUUGAGCAAAUCCUUAAAAGAUACCUCAGUUCGGAUUGCACUCUGCAACUCGAGUGCAUGAAGCUGGAAUUACUAGUAAUCGUGGAUCAGCGUGCCACGGUGAAUGCGUUCCCGGGUCUUGUACACACCGCCCGUCACACCAUGGGAGUUGGUUCUACCUUAAGGCAAGGUUUUAAACCCUUGACCACGGUAUAGUCAGCGACUGGGGUGAAGUCGUAACAAGGUA